GGCUGAGAGUAUAUAUUGAUUUUUUUUUCUGAAGAAUUGUCACCCCACUGAUCGCCAGGGUUGAUUCGGCUGAUCUGGCUGGCUAGGCGGGUGUCCCCUUCCUCCCUCACUGCUCCAUGUGCAUCCCUCCCGAAGCCGCGCACUUGGCCGAAGAAGAGGACCAUCCCCAAUAGAGGAGGACCCCUCUUCGGUCUAGGGUACACAAGUAGCUGCCCUCCCCUGCUAGAACCUCCAAACAAGCUCUCAAGGUCCAUAUUAGUCUGUAUGUCUGUAUAUUCAGGCAGAGUUUCUUCAAGUUUAAAAGGAAUACAUUUUUCU
rnacentral:snRNA from 1 species